AAUCCAUAGGUUAAUGAGGCGAACCGGGGGAACUGAAACAUCUAAGUACCCCGAGGAAAAGAAAUCAACCGAGAUUCCCCCAGUAGCGGCGAGCGAACGGGGAGGAGCCCAGAGCCUGAAUCAGCAUGUGUGUUAGUGGAAGCGUCUGGAAAGGCGCGCGAUACAGGGUGACAGCCCCGUACACAAAAGCGCAUGUGCUGUGAGCUCGAUGAGUAGGGCGGGACACGUGGUAUCCUGUCUGAAUAUGGGGGGACCAUCCUCCAAGGCUAAAUACUCCUGACUGACCGAUAGUGAACCAGUACCGUGAGGGAAAGGCGAAAAGAACCCCGGCGAGGGGAGUGAAAAAGAACCUGAAACCGUGUACGUACAAGCAGUGGGAGCACCCUUUGGGUGUGACUGCGUACCUUUUGUAUAAUGGGUCAGCGACUUAUAUUCUGUAGCAAGGUUAACCGAAUAGGGGAGCCGGAGGGAAACCGAGUCUUAACCGGGCGUUAAGUUGCAGGGUAUAGACCCGAAACCCGGUGAUCUAGCCAUGGGCAGGUUGAAGGUUGGGUAACACUAACUGGAGGACCGAACCGACUAAUGUUGAAAAAUUAGCGGAUGACCUGUGGCUGGGGGUGAAAGGCCAAUCAAACCGGGAGAUAGCUGGUUCUCCCCGAAAGCUAUUUAGGUAGCGCCUCGUGAAUUCAUCUCCGGGGGUAGAGCACUGUUUCGGCUAGGGGGCCAUCCCGGCUUACCAACCCGAUGCAAACUGCGAAUACCGGAGAAUGUUAUCACGGGAGACACACGGCGGGUGCUAACGUCCGUCGUGAAGAGGGAAACAACCCAGACCGCCAGCUAAGGUCCCAAAGUCAUGGUUAAGUGGGAAACGAUGUGGGAAGGCCCAGACAGCCAGGAUGUUGGCUUAGAAGCAGCCAUCAUUUAAAGAAAGCGUAAUAGCUCACUGGUCGAGUCGGCCUGCGCGGAAGAUGUAACGGGGCUAAACCAUGCACCGAAGCUGCGGCAGCGACACUGUGUGUUGUUGGGUAGGGGAGCGUUCUGUAAGCCUGUGAAGGUGUGUCGUGAGGCAUGCUGGAGGUAUCAGAAGUGCGAAUGCUGACAUAAGUAACGAUAAAGCGGGUGAAAAGCCCGCUCGCCGGAAGACCAAGGGUUCCUGUCCAACGUUAAUCGGGGCAGGGUGAGUCGACCCCUAAGGCGAGGCCGAAAGGCGUAGUCGAUGGGAAACGGGUUAAUAUUCCCGUACUUGGUGUUACUGCGAAGGGGGGACGGAGAAGGCUAUGUUGGCCGGGCGACGGUUGUCCCGGUUUAAGUGUGUAGGUGUGUGUUCCAGGUAAAUCCGGUUCACUUUAACACUGAGGCGUGACGACGAGGCACUACGGUGCUGAAGCAACAAAUGCCCUGCUUCCAGGAAAAGCCUCUAAGCAUCAGGUAACAUCAAAUCGUACCCCAAACCGACACAGGUGGUCAGGUAGAGAAUACCAAGGCGCUUGAGAGAACUCGGGUGAAGGAACUAGGCAAAAUGGUGCCGUAACUUCGGGAGAAGGCACGCUGACACGUAGGUGAAGUGAUUUACUCAUGGAGCUGAAGUCAGUCGAAGAUACCAGCUGGCUGCAACUGUUUAUUAAAAACACAGCACUGUGCAAACACGAAAGUGGACGUAUACGGUGUGACGCCUGCCCGGUGCCGGAAGGUUAAUUGAUGGGGUCAGCGCAAGCGAAGCUCCUGAUCGAAGCCCCGGUAAACGGCGGCCGUAACUAUAACGGUCCUAAGGUAGCGAAAUUCCUUGUCGGGUAAGUUCCGACCUGCACGAAUGGCGUAAUGAUGGCCAGGCUGUCUCCACCCGAGACUCAGUGAAAUUGAACUCGCUGUGAAGAUGCAGUGUACCCGCGGCAAGACGGAAAGACCCCGUGAACCUUUACUAUAGCUUGACACUGAACAUUGAGCCUUGAUGUGUAGGAUAGGUGGGAGGCUUUGAAGUGUGGACGCCAGUCUGCAUGGAGCCGACCUUGAAAUACCACCCUUUAAUGUUUGAUGUUCUAACGUGGACCCGUUACCCGGGUUGCGGACAGUGUCUGGUGGGUAGUUUGACUGGGGCGGUCUCCUCCUAAAGAGUAACGGAGGAGCACGAAGGUUGGCUAAUCCUGGUCGGACAUCAGGAGGUUAGUGCAAUGGCAUAAGCCAGCUUGACUGCGAGCGUGACGGCGCGAGCAGGUGCGAAAGCAGGUCAUAGUGAUCCGGUGGUUCUGAAUGGAAGGGCCAUCGCUCAACGGAUAAAAGGUACUCCGGGGAUAACAGGCUGAUACCGCCCAAGAGUUCAUAUCGACGGCGGUGUUUGGCACCUCGAUGUCGGCUCAUCACAUCCUGGGGCUGAAGUAGGUCCCAAGGGUAUGGCUGUUCGCCAUUUAAAGUGGUACGCGAGCUGGGUUUAGAACGUCGUGAGACAGUUCGGUCCCUAUCUGCCGUGGGCGCUGGAGAACUGAGGGGGGCUGCUCCUAGUACGAGAGGACCGGAGUGGACGCAUCACUGGUGUUCGGGUUGUCAUGCCAAUGGCACUGCCCGGUAGCUAAAUGCGGAAGAGAUAAGUGCUGAAAGCAUCUAAGCACGAAACUUGCCCCGA
rnacentral:rRNA from 2 species